rnacentral:rRNA from 1 species
UACGUAGAGUGCGAGCGUUAAUCGGAAUUACUGGGCGUAAAGCGUGCGUAGGCGGUUGGCAAAGUCAGCUGUGAAAGCCCCGGGCUUAACCUGGGAAUGGCGGUUGAAACUAGUCGACUAGAAUCUGGCAGAGGGGGGUGGAAUUCCACGUGUAGCAGUGAAAUGCGUAGAGAUGUGGAGGAACACCGAUGGCGAAGGCAGCCCCCUGGGCUGAGAUUGACGCUCAGGCACGAAAGCGUGGGGAGCAAACAGG